rnacentral:rRNA from 1 species
GAUCCUGGCUCAGGAUGAACGCUAGCUACAGGCUUAACACAUGCAAGUCGAGGGGCAGCGGGAUUGAAGCUUGCUUCAAUUGCUGGCGACCGGCGCACGGGUGAGUAACGCGUAUCCAACCUUCCGUACACUCAGGGAUAGCCUUUCGAAAGAAAGAUUAAUACCUGAUGGUAUGAUGAGAUUGCAUGGUAUCAUCAUUAAAGAUUUUAUCGGUGUACGAUGGGGAUGCG